GCGGGAGUAACUAUGACUCUCUU
rnacentral:ncRNA from 6 species